GCUCGUGUGCAACGGUGAAGCUCAACUGGGCUUGGAACAGAAAAGAAUAAAUAUGGUGGAUUACCGCCGGAUGGGGAAUAUGAAUCAGCAUUUGGGAAAUGUAAUGCCAACAGCUAUCUUGCAGCAACCCAUGAAUCUUUGGAAGAGCCCUAGGGGUACAGUGCUCCGUAUUGAGGCAUUGGCAUUCAUCGCCAUUGUCCUCGCUUUCUUCGUUGUUGCCUUUGGAUCCUGCCGCCGUUGGUCUAACCGCUGGAUCAUCCAAAAGGGCUUCUUGGUUGCAAACGCUUUAUCUCUAUCCCUUGGGAUUUACAGCAUUGGUCUGAUGCAAUCUUCGCCGGUAAAGAGCAAGAUGUACCCUAUAUGGGCUGUGUCCUUACUCACCCUGUUCGGUUGUAUUGACUCAGUCACUGUCUUCAACGGCAUUGACUACAAGAGCCCGCUCUGAAAGAUGCUAUUUCAGCUUUGCCUCUAAUGUGGAUAUGUCCUCCUAUUGAGUAUAUCAACCAUCUCUAGUGACGUUGGUAACAUAGCCAUCAGUGUGCUGUCUGCCAUCACUUUCAUCAAGGGCUUUCAUAGAUCACUAUCGCUUGUGAUGCCAAAAAAAAUGCGAACCAUGUUAGAUCAACAUCCACUACAAGAACAAGAGGGUGGUGAAAAGUUUGUUAUAGCAGAUCCAGAUUUGUCUGAUGAGAUGGACUACUUUAUAGUUGAUUUUCCCAUUGGUACGGAUGAGGUUCCAUCCAAUAAUGAUGAAGGGAGUUGGAUUACAAUGGAUGAUAUAAUAAGCAAAGAAAAGGAUGAUUUACCGUCCUUUCGUGA